rnacentral:rRNA from 1 species
UACGUAGGGGGCAAGCGUUGUCCGGAAUCAUUGGGCGUAAAGCGCGUGUAGGCGGCUCGAUAAGUCUGCUGUGAAAGUUCAGGGCUCAACCCUGAAAUGCCGGUGGAAACUGUCGGGCUAGAGUCCGGAAGAGGCGAGUGGAAUUCCGGGUGUAGCGGUGGAAUGCGUAGAGAUCCGGAAGAACACCGGCGGCGAAGGCGGUCUGCUGGGCAGUUGCUGACACUGAGGCGCGACAGCGUGGGGAGCAAACAGG